AACCUCCCAGGAUCGCAUCUGGAGGAUGGUUAAUGCUCUGCCAGCUUCGGAGACAAGAGGGAAAACAAGCUUGGCAGAGGUGCCCAUUCCAUUCCCCGCCUGCUCUGUAGCUGCUGGUUGGAAGACACUCUGCAACAACG